rnacentral:misc_RNA from 1 species
AGCAGCGAACGAAGCUUCACGUUUGUAUCGUGAUCGUUUUUGUGCAGCACAGAGUUGCCCUCUGUUCCGACACUUCCUUCCACGGCCCCUCCUCCGCCACGUCGCUGUGAGUGUUCGCCUUGCCGAUUGCCCGUUUACGAGCGAUAAAAAAGUAAUGUUCCGCCGUCUCUCCAUGUGCGUGCCGUUUGCCACGACGGCGCGCUUCUACACCCCGUCGGAGGAGCUGAAGAAGCUCUACGCUAGCGACUUUGAGCGCGCGCAGUUCCCCGCCAAUAUUGUCCCCAGCGACUCUGUCACGUUCGCCAAGUUCCUGUACAAGGCGGUGGAGCCGAAGGGCAGCUUUGAUACCAUUCUGAAAGACUUCCAGACCAUCGCUGCCGCCAUCCCGAAGCUGCCUGUCUUCUGGCAGCGUACCGUGGUGGUGAGUGAGGUGAAGGAGUUCAAGUCGCUCUCCGCCCCGACUACCUUCACUCUCGAGUGGAUGCAGAGCAACGGCAUGCUAGACCUGCUCCCGGAUGUCGCGGAGGUGUACGAGACCUACGUCAACGCCAAGAUGAAGCGCGUGACGGCCAAGAUCUACGUCGCCCCUGGUAAGGAGCAGGACCGGGCCCUGGUGGACAAGGCAAAGCGAGUUGCGGAGCAGGUUGUGAAGGACAACAAGCAAUUCGCCGGCUACACGCUGGUGCCGAAGGUGAUGGUGGAUCGCUCCAUUGUGGAGGGCUUUGCCGUGGAUGUGCAGGGAACGUACGUUAACGAGGCCGUCGGCCGCACGAAGGAGACGCAGGCGUCGGGCGAGGCCGAUUACACCAACAUCCCGCCUCCGCGUUUGUCCAAGACGACAUGGGAGGACAACAUCGAGACAGAGGUGCUGCGCAAGUACCUCGACAGCCUUUCCCUGUACGAUGCCGAGGAGCUCAAGAACGGCGUUUAAGUACAGCAUGCCUUUCCGUGGAUUGGUCUCGGGGUUUGAUGACCUCCCCGCCUCCUCCCGCAGUGACGCGCAUGGCGACCACAGGGCGAGCCGACAGCCGUGUACGGAGGGACGUCUGGGUCCGCGUACUUGUCUUUUUUUUUCGUUUCUGCGCGCGUAGCUACUUCGCAUGCUUGCCGCAGCCGCGGCAAGUCCCUUUUACCCGUCGACGUACCCCGACGCACGCGUCGCUCCUUGUUCUCGCUGGCAUCUGUGGCCGCGGCAGGUGAAGUAGGCGGUGCCAGAUCGAGAGAGAAGAGCGGGGAGGAGAGAGCGGAAGGAAUUCUGUUGUCGAUCGAGCGUGUUUCUGUCGCUGUUGACAUCGCGGCUUCUGUUCUCUGCCACCCCAACUCCGAUACCCCCGAUCCCGUGAGCACGCCAAAACACGCGUGCCUUCUUGUCGCCGUCUAACAAGGAUCUCGGGUUUUUCUCUUAGGUCUUUGUUGUUUAUGCUUUUUUUUUCUCUCUCUAGUAGGCACACCUCGUAGUAACGCAUGUUUACCAAUCUCCCUCACAGCAGAAGCACUGUGCGACAGGGUGGUACCGCGUUGUGUCGGUAUCGCGCAUCUCCGCGUCACCUUUGUAGUGCAUCUCUCUUCCUCUACGUCCUGGCCAUCACCCGGUGUGGCUGCCCGCAGGUUGCGCGUCGCGCCCUACUCGGCACCACGCGUUGGUGCGGACGCCUGCGGGAAGCACUUCAUUCGCUGCCCCUGUCCAUGCCAAAGGGACAUGGCCCCAGAACGCGCCUGAGCGGCGGUAUUCUGUGGAAGCUUUUCCUUUGUCAUGCUGCAGCUGUCUAGGUGUACAUGAAUGAUUUUCCCAGAGGCGUCCCUUUGUGGAUGGCAUCGCCGCUGCCAUCGCCUAAUUGCCUUCUCUGCAUUCUCGCUCCGCCUCUCUGAGGUCUCCCUUCUCUUUCCUCCCUCCCGCCCCCGCCACUACCUGCGGUAUGAUGCCGACACACACACACACACACACACACACACACACGCACGCGUGCGUGCAUGUGAGAACACACAUCACUGCAG